rnacentral:rRNA from 1 species
GAUGAACGCUGGCGGCGUGCCUAAUACAUGCAAGUCGAGCGAACAGACGAGGAGCUUGCUCCUCUGACGUUAGCGGCGGACGGGUGAGUAACACGUGGAUAACCUACCUAUAAGACUGGGAUAACUUCGGGAAACCGGAGCUAAUACCGGAUAAUAUAUUGAACCGCAUGGUUCAAUAGUUAAAGACGGUUUUGCUGUCACUUAUAGAUGGAUCCGCGCCGCAUUAGCUAGUUGGUAAGGUAACGGCUUACCAAGGCAACGAUGCGUAGCCGACCUGAGAGGGUGAUCGGCCACACUGGAACUGAGACACGGUCCAGACUCCUACGGGAGGCAGCAGUAGGGAAUCUUCCGCGAUGGGCGAAAGCCUGACGGAGCAACGCCGCGUGAGUGAUGAAGGUCUUCGGAUCGUAAAACUCUGUUAUUAGGGAAGAACAAAUGUGUAAGUAAAUAUGCACGUCUUGACGGUACCUGAUCAGAAAGCCACGGCUAACUACGUG